UAUACCCGACUCUUGUUGAGAUUAUUAACAAUUAUUGGUCUCUCUUGUUGUUAUUUUCUCUCUCUAGGGUUUCAUCGUGAAACUCUGUUGAUCUAGGGUUAGUUGGUCUUGGUGAGUUGCUAAGAUCAUCAGUAGUUUGUGAAGAUCACAUAAAGUAUUACAGAUCAUCUUGUUGAUGAUUUGUUGGUGAGCUUUCAUUCUUGUGAUAGUAGUGAAUCUUUGUAUUGUUAAAGUUUUGUUACAGUAAAGUUUAAGUUGUGCUUGAUACCACUGACAUGGCUUUUAGUAGAUUUGGGGUUCUUCCGUUCUUGGUGUUGGAUCUUUGUAGAUCGGUCAAGUCUCUAUUGUGUUGGAUCACAUAGAAUAUUGUGGCACCCCGCGAGAACACUUAGCUAUUCGGUAACCGCAUGCUAAAUUUCCGGACGAAAUUUCUUUCAACUUGGGGAUAAUGUGACAGCUCAUGUGUUUCACUUCGAAUUGACUUCCUUUACGUUUCAGCAUACGUGUAUUUGUAAUCAGUUUAUGAACUUGAUAUUAAUGCGAAGUGUUUAAAUGUUUGGUUUACAUUU
rnacentral:lncRNA from 1 species